rnacentral:rRNA from 1 species
GACGAACGCUGGCGGCGUGCCUAAUACAUGCAAGUAGAACGCACAGUUUAUACCGUAGCUUGCUACACCAUAGACUGUGAGUUGCGAACGGGUGGGUAACGCGUAGGUAACCUGCCUGGUAGCGGGGGAUAACUAUUGGAAACGAUAGCUAAUACCGCAUAAUAUUGAUUAUUGCAUGAUAAUUGAUUGAAAGAUGCUAUUGCAUCACUACCAGAUGGACCUGCGUUGUAUUAGCUAGUAGGUGAGGUAACGGCUCACCUAGGCGACGAUACAUAGCCGACCUGGGAGGGUGAUCGGCCACACUGGGACUGAGACACGGCCCAGACUCCUACGGGAGGCAGCAGUAGGGAAUCUUCGGCAAUGGACGAAAGUCUGACCGAGCAACGCCGCGUGAGUGAAGAAGGGUUUCGGAUCGUAAAGCUCUGUUGUAAGAGAAGAACGGGUGUGAGAGUGGAAAGUUCACACUGUGACGGUAGCUUAACAGAAAGGGACGGCUAACUACGUG